rnacentral:rRNA from 1 species
ACCAAGGCAGUGAUGGGUAGCUGGUCUGAGAGGACGACCAGCCACAUUGGGACUGAGAUACGGCCCAGACUCCUACGGGAGGCAGCAGUGGGGAAUCUUGGCCAAUGGACGAAAGUCUGAGCCAGCGACACCGCGUGGGGGAUGACGGCCUUCGGGUUGUAAACCCCUUUUUCUGGGGAAAGAAUAAGGACGGGAGGAAAUGCCCGCCCGAUGACGGUACUCCAGGAAUAAGCAUCGGCAAACUCUGUGCCAGCAGCCGCGGUAAGACAGAGGGUGCAAGCGUUAUCCGGAAUUACUGGGCGUAAAGGGCGUCUAGGCGGGUGAGUAAGUCACUUGUGAAAUCCCCCGGCUCAACCGGGGAGGGUCUGGUGAUACUGCUUGUCUUGGGUGUAGGAGAGGAGAGUGGAACUCACAGAGUAGCGGUGGAAUGCGUAGAUACUGUGAGGUACCCCGAUGGCGAAGGCAACUCUCUGGCCUACUACCGACGCUGAAGCGCGAAAGCGUGGGGAGCAAAGGGGAUUAGAUACCCCCGUAGUCCACGCCCCAAACGAUGUUCACUUGGUGUCGGCCGCUCAUACUGGUCGGUGCCGGAGCUAACGCGUUAAGUGAACCGCCUGAGGAGUACGGCCGCAAGGCUAAAACUCAAGAGAAUUGACGGGUCCCCGCACAAGCGGUGGAGCACGUGGUUUAAUUCGAUAUAAGCGAAGAACCUCACCCAGGCUUGACAUACUAGUGGUAGGAACCUGAAAGGGGGACGACCCUGCCUUCGGGUAGGGAGCUAGUACAGGUGAUGCAUGGCUGUCGUCAGCUCGUGUCGUGGGAUGUUGGGUUAAGUCCCGAAACGAGCGCAACCCUUGUCGUUAGUUGCCAGCGGGUAAUGCCGGGGACUCUAACGAGACUGCUGGUGAAUAGCCGGAGGAAGGCGGGGAUGACGUCAAGUCAUCAUGUCCCUUAUGCCUGGGGCGACACACAUGCUACAAUGGGGGGUACAAAGGGUCGCAAUCCUGUAAAGGGGAGCCAAUCUCAAAAAACCCUCCUUAGUUCGGAUUGAGGUCUGCAACUCGACCUCAUGAAGCCGGAAUCGCUAGUAAUCGCAGGUCAGCCACACUGCGGUGAAUAUGGACUCGGGGAUUGUACACACCGCCCGUCACACCAACCGAGUGGGGGGUACCUGAAGUCGUCCUUUUGAGGGCGCCUAGGGUAACUUCCGCAAGAGGGGUGAAGUCGUAACAAGGUA